GUGGACCAGCUUGCCCCAUCUGGAAGACUAGUGAUUUUGUUGUUGUCUCACUGAGUCCAACAACAAGUCCCAGUCUGCCGCAUGGUGCCGGCCACCGCA
ensembl:miRNA